rnacentral:rRNA from 1 species
AGUGAACGCUGGCGGUAGGCCUAACACAUGCAAGUCGAACGGCAGCACAGUAAGAGCUUGCUCUUACGGGUGGCGAGUGGCGGACGGGUGAGGAAUCCAUCGGAAUCUACUUUUUCGUGGGGGAUAACGUAGGGAAACUUACGCUAAUACCGCAUACGACCUACGGGUGAAAUCAUGGGAUCUUCGGACCUUGCGCGAUUGAAUGGGCCGAUGUCGGAUUCGCUAGUUGGCGGGGUAAAGGCCCACCAAGGCGACGAUCCGUAGCUGGUCUGAGAGGAUGAUCAGCCACACUGGAACUGAGACACGGUCCAGACUCCUACGGGAGGCAGCAGUGGGGAAUAUUGGACAAUGGGCGCAAGCCUGAUCCAGCCAUACCGCGUGGGUGAAGAAGGCCUUCGGGUUGUAAAGCCCUUUUGUUGGGAAAGAAAAGCAGCAGGUUAAUACCCCGCUGUUCUGACGGUACCCAAAGAAUAAGCACCGGCUAACUUCGUG